CGCGUAGACGGUUUUGUAAGUCAGAUGUGAAAUCCCCGGGCUCAACCUGGGAACUGCAUUUGAAACUGCAUGGCUAGAGUAUCGAAGAGGGAAGUGGAAUUUCCGGUGUAGCGGUGAAAUGCGUAGAUAUCGGAAGGAACACCAGUGGCGAAAGCGACUUCCUGGUCGAAUACUGACGUUCAUGUGCGAAAGCGUGGGGAGCAAACAGGAUUAGAUACCCUGGUAGUCCACGCCAUAAACGAUGACAACUAGAUGUUGGGAGGGUCUGCCUCUCGGUGUCGCAGCUAACGCGUUAAGUUGUCCGCCUGGGGAGUACGGCCGCAAGGUUGAA
rnacentral:rRNA from 1 species